ACCCGCUUAGCUCAGUGGUAGAGCGCAUCACUAGUAUAUCGAAUACUCAAUGAUGACGUCCUUAGUUCGACUCUGGGAGUGGGCU